UGUAAGCAACUAAAUUUUCCAUUCUACUUUAGUCACUUAACCACACCUCUGACCACUUGGAGGAGUCUCAUUCACAACCUCCAUAAGUCCAAUCCAGGACUUGGGACUUGCUAGCCCCGAGAAUGGCAUCUAUGCCACUCAACAUUUGCACUUGGUCCAAGUGCUCCACGUGUCCGAUCCCAUGACCGACACUCAAAGGUACCACCGACAUAGCAGCCCGUUACGCUAAGGCCAUGCCCAAUCACCUUUGCCACACUGGUAGUCCAAUACCACUUGCAUCACAGUCUUGGCUCUCCAAG
rnacentral:lncRNA from 1 species